CUGAAGGCACAUGGAGGCACAUCACUAAUAAAGACAGACUGUCAGUGGCAGUGUGUCCUGUUUCACCAUGUGAAAGGGGAAACAGGAAGUGCCACCUUUCCCUGCCACUGCUGCCACCACAGGCAAUGCCCACUCUGCUGCCUCCACCGCUGGUGGAGAAGCGGUGCUGGCCUUGGAGCAAAUUUCAGGAAGGAUCUCUCUGGAGGGGGCAGGACACCCAUGGGGUGCCGCCUCAGGGCCUUCUGCCACCUGAGGCGGUAGCCUCAACCUGCCCAAUGGCUGGGCCGGCCCUGAAGCCCGUCAAAGAUAGGCUUCAAUGGUAGUUACUCCCAGGGAAGUAUGCAAAGAAUUGUAACCAUUUACCUCAGAGAAAGCCCCAUUGAAAUCAACGAGGAGUCGUGCAUAGGAUUUAUUUUAAUUUUAAAAAAUAGCUCAAAGGUCCAAAUGUUUUGCCCCACCACCAUCACCUUAAACUAGCAGCAUGACUCAUCUUUUUUUCCCCAUCCCUUCCCCCCGAUGAAACAAUUUGUCAACCACAUCUGCAGAUGUCCUUUUGAGGAACUGAAAAGGCUGAGCGUUUCACCUAUUAUGAUAUCAUGGAAUGUAGCAGAGGAGGUGAUCUCAUAGAUACAUAUAUAUUCAGGCUUUGAGGAGAUUGCGGUUCAGUUCCCCCACCCUCUGGCAUCUCAUGGUGCUUUGUUUCCUCCAGUGAAUGCUGUUUUCACCCCUCCACUCCCCCCUUUUAUUUCCACAGGAGCAAAUUAAGGUGUUUGUGUUGCAUUGCUGGGUUCAGGAAAAGUUCCCAGGCAUCUGCCACACCAGCAGGUUGCAAAAGGUCAGUUUUACACUAAGUUGUGUGUGUGUCUUUUCACCCCUUAAGGAUGUCGUUAACAGACAUCUAGAGCUCGUAAAACAAACAUGAGUAUGCAUAUUACAUGAAUGGAGAUCAUUUUCAAUCCAAUAGUAUACUGCCCCAGUUAAUACUGUCAAAUUCAAACAAGAAAUCUAUUUUAUACCAGUGCCAAACACCCAUAUGAACCUCCCCGUAAGUUGGGAUCAUAUAUCGAAGCCCUUCUCCAACAUGGCCCUACCAUUAGGCAGAAAGUGGUGGCUAUUACAGGCAGCUGACUUGGGGCAAGUGAAUCAGGUGAUGUUGAGAGUGAUUAUGAUUCUGCCAAGGAAGAGAAGAGGCACGUGUGGGAUUUUUUGUCUUGGGUACCGAAAUAACUUGGAUGGCCUUGGGUAAGAGCUGGGUGGGGUGGAGCUGAUGUGUUAGUUUCCCAGCAGGUGAGGUCACUGUUGUUUACCACGGGAGGGAGGGUCAAGAUGGGCGGGGAGGUCAGCAGGUUGCUAACACACCAGCAGAGGCAACUGAACAUUCCCAACAAUGUGUUUGCACUGUGCCAACCUUCUCACCACCUGGCAAGCUGCUUCUGGUAGUACAGGCCUUGAAAUGGACAUCAUUUGCUGUGUUGGGCUGGCCUUGUUCUCUAACCCACCCCCCGCCAUCUAACACUCCUAGCCCAGUGUUAUGAUGGGAGGAGCAGACACACAUCCAGGCAACCCCACCUUCUGCCAAUUAUUCAGUUCUCAACAGCUUCCAGUCAGAUAUGUAUCACUGAGCAUUAUGGCCAUCUCUUGCUGUUUGUCCUCAUAGCAGCUGGUACGGAAGCUGUACUACCCAGGACAGGAUGGGGUUGUGCAGGGUUGUUAAGGCAGCAGAGAGCAUUGUUGGCUGCCCACUCUCCACCUUAGAGCAGAUUUAUACCACAAGGUGCCAUAGGAAGGCACUGGACAUAGUAAAAGAUCCAUCGCAUCCUGGUCACUGUCUCUUCGAGCUCUUGCCGUCGGGACGGAGAUACAGGACGAUGAAGACAAGAACGAGCCGUCUUAAGAACAGCUUCUUCUCCAGAGCGAUCUCGGCCCUGAAUGGGAAGCCCGGACUUUGAAAGUCAUCUAAUCUCCCUUGCUGUAUUAUACUGUAUUGAUUAAUUAGUGUUUUUAUGGAGCAGUCAAGUAAUUUCGUUGUCCCCGAAGGGGGCAAUGACAAUAAAGAUAUUAUUAUUAUUAUUAUUAUUAUUACUAUGUGGAGGAGCCUUUGCACAUUUUGGUAGUUCAGUGAACACACAUAGGUUUCUCUUUCAGACUUUCCACUCAAUGUGCAGGUCUCCAGAGGGUUCAAUGUGUGGAGCUCCAGUAGAGAAGGUGAUGUUGGGAGCAGCACACAGGGCCGUACUUCCCCACCAUGCAUGGGGAAGCCUAAUUGCCAAUGAACAUGGGACCUUUGGCCCUGAACUACAACUCCCAUCAGCCCCAGCAAGCAUGGCCAAUGCCCAGGGAUGUAAUUCAGCAACAUCUGGAAUUACAAAUUUCCAAAGGUUUCCCACACUGGCUACAAUGUGUGAAGGUACUUGCAGAUAUAAUAAUGUUACAAAAAUCAGGUGCCCACCCCUCCAUCUCUGCUGAGUGGUAGCAAGAUUUCAGGGGGUUCCAGGCACUCACUCAAGGUCUACGUUCCUUUAGAGAAUUGAGACAUAGCAGAAACUCUCAUAGCUUUAAGAAAUAGGGUUUAUUCACCUAUUUACACCUUCAGUCUGCAUGGAUGGAGUCCAGAUCUCACAGCAUGGCAUCUCUCCCAGCCUGCCUUCAGCCAGCCUGCCCAAAAUGGAGCCCAGUCUUCUCCCCUUCUUCUCUUCAGUACACAUCGUUGUAAAUCGGGGUGCUCAAACUUUUUCAAAGACGGCCAGAUAACAUGUGUGAGGGCCGAAAUUGUUGAGCUUUUUUUAAGAUUGAACUUUUUUGGGGGGGGUUACCCCAACCGACCAGUAGGCCAAAUUAGGCCCCCCAAACUGACUUUGGACAUGCCUGUUCUAAAUACGCUCUUUUCAUGUCACAAACAUACACCUCAUUACCAUGGCAACCUCUGUCUGCUGAGGCCCAUAAUUCCUCUCAGGAGGACUAUCAACCAUUUGGUUGUGUUAAUGCCUCUCUCCCAGGCCCUGGCUUGGGGAAAAAAAUCUUAGCCUGCAAUUUUUCAUUGACUUCCGAUCUUACCUUCAGUUCUCCAAAUAAUCAAAUUUAUUAAUUUCUAGGGUUUGGUGGGGAGGGGGGUUUCCUCACCAAAUCAAUAACAAUGAUAAUCAGAAGUAUGUGAAGAAUUUUCCCCAUCAAUUGCUGUGAAAAGUGAUGAUGUAAAGUCACAUAGGCAUUGCUUCAUUGGGCAAGCUUGGUUAUGUGCCAAGCAGGGAGAAGAAAUCUUCCACAACUGCUGAAAUGUAAAAACUGUGUGGAUUCAUAGUGAGAGAGGAUAGGAAAUGUGGGUGUGUUGAAACAGUCAGAGAUUACUCAUCAUUAAAGAAGCAUUCAACAACAAUGGUACAAUCUUUAAUUUUGUAAAUAAACUUCGUUGGACUUUAACUUCCUGUACCUGACACAACAACAUGCAAAUGUGCGUUGCCCAGUAUCCAUCCACUCCUUUGAUGUUGCCCCUUCACUCAUUAAGCAGGGUUAAUUGUGACAGGCUUUUGCUAUCAGUAAACAAGUCUUUGGUAGCUACUCUUAUUUUGCUGCUCAUCAGGGAUCCUGAGAUGGUUUUCUUGAAACGAAAAGUGUUAUUUGGAGACAGGAUGUUGUGGCAAUCAUACAUGACCAACGUUCACCUCAGGUUAAACUCUCAGGGUGGGGACCUGGCUGGUACCACUCUAGAGUGUUUGAGAACAGAUUUUUAUGUCCUUUAAAUGGGUAUUUUUAAAAAUAAGCAUAUAUUUUGCUUCCUUUCCUCUGUCUUCCCAGGCAGCAUUUUGCUGCCGUGUUCUUGGGAAAUAUAUUGUCUAGAAUUGUCUGUCUUCCAUGUAGACAUGGGCCAAUCUGCCGAUUUUAGUUCCUCAUCCCCCCCCCCCAUUUUAAGUUCAGUUUUUCACAUUUCCAUAUCAGUUGUGUGCAUUUUUUAAAAGUCCUCAUUAGAAUUCAUCACCAUUUUAGUGUCAAUUUCUCCAGAUACUGUAUAUCAUUAGUCUUAAUUAUUAAAUUUUUAUACCAUCCUUCAUCUGAAGACCAGAGGGCAGUAAACACAUUCUUAUAUACACAUUUUCCUAAGAUACACAUUUUCCAAAAGCAUUUCUCUGUAAAAUAAUAUUUAUUGCGGGUUAUUUUCACCAAUAUGUGCAAUAUGUGCAUUUUUAUGGGUGCUUUACCCAACUGUGCAUUUUUGUGUACUUGACUUGACUUGAGAACUCAUUGCAAAAUUCAGAGAAGACUUUGACUUUGAAAAUACAUUUCAAAGGACAGCUCCAUUUCCAUUCUCGUAUUUUUUCAGAAAGUGCAACAGGUUCACCUUUAAAUGCAAACUGAAUCAGAUUCCUCCCCAGUACCUAUUUUCAUGUUUGAAAGACAAAAGCCUUCUUUAGGCGUUCGGUGAAUUUUAGAAGAAAGGGAGAUGACUAACCUGAGUGCAUUUAUUAUAUGUGAAGAGAGCAUCUGUCUUGCAAACAACCUUUUUGUCAUUCUGGAAAGGUGAGCUAUACAGAAGCACAGGUGACACGGCAGAAGUUUAUAAAACUAUGCACUGCAUGGAGAAAGUGGAUAGAGAUAGGUUUUUUCUCCCUCUCUCGUAACAGAAAUCACAAACAUCCAAUGAGGCUGAAUGUUGGAAGAUUCAGGUCAGAUAAAAGAAAGUGUUAGAAUUCCUGCUCCAUGAUUGCAGUCAUGGGAUUGUUGUCUAUCACAUGACGGUGUAUGUUUUGACUCCACAAAGUGGGAAGUGAAGGAGACAGGAUGUUUGUGUUACUGUGUUCCGUGAAGGGGGACUAUUGUCCUUUGUCCUUUUUCUCUUUGCAGUCUGAUGCUAGAGAGAGAGGGAGCCAUAUUGCAGUGCUCUCUGUGUGUUUAUAUGUAAAUAAAGUAGAUUAGCCAAAAUGCUGAGUUGCUGAGGUCUGUCACGCAAGAUGCGCAAACUCUGUGGAUCCCCAAGUGUGCCGAUGUCUGUUGGAAUCGGUCACUGUGAUGUUUGGGCUGAAGAAAUCUUUUGAAGCUCCCAAACGAUUGACCAGGAGGGAGGGAACAUGCCAGUUGAGCAUGUGUCUCUGCCAGGGUCCUACUCGAGUGUAGGCUGAACUCCUGACAGAAAGUCCUUCAUGCAUUGCAUAGUUAAACUAUGGAACUCAUUGCCACAGGAGGCAGUGAUGGCUGCCAACUUAGAUGGCUUUAAACAAGGAUUCAACAUGAAGAAAAAAGCUAUCAAUGACUACUAGCCUGGAUGGCUAUGUUCUGCCUCCACCGUCAGAGGCUUCUAAACCAGAAGCCUUUUUAUUGGGUAUAGUGGGUAGAGAGAUACCAAGACAAGAUAAAAUAUUGUUCUUAUAUGCAACAACUGUGGCAAGAAUUUUGUUAGCCCAAAGAUGGAAACAACAGGAGUUACCAACAAAAGCAGAGUGGCAGAUGAAGCUGAUGGAUUUUGCAGAACUGGCGAAACUGACGGGAAGAAUUCUGAACCAGCGAGACCAAGCAUUCCAAAAGGACUGGAACAAAUUCACAUUAUAUUUGAAAAACAACUGUAAGCAAUUAACAUCAUUAGCAAGUUUAUCCGAAGAUCUGUAAGAUGAAAUUGCUCCCUAUUCAGGUUGAGUAAUAGAAUAUUUUAGGUAAUGAUAGAACAAGGGUAGGAAAUGAAGCGAAAUCUAAAGAUGUAAAGUUUAAUUUUGAAAACCACCAGACAGGAGGGAGGGAAGUCAUUGGGCUCAGUUGAGUCAAAGAGAUAAACUAAGAGGGUAUGAUGUUACUUAAUGUAAUUAUAUGUAAAACCAAUAAAAAUCAUUUCUAAAACAGAGGGAGUAAUGCUUCUGAAUAUGAGUUGCUGGAAGCCCUGGCGCGAGGAGUGCUGUUCUGCUCGGGUUAAUCCAGCAGGACUCUUCUUAUAUGCUCAUACAGUGGUACCUCGGGUUACAUACGCUUCAGGUUACAUACACUUCAGGAUACAGACUCCGCUAACCCAGAAAUAGUACCUCGGGUUAAGAACUUUGCUUCAGGAUGAGAACAGAAAUCGUGUUCCAGCGGCGUGGCGGCAGCAGGAGGCCCCAUUAGCUAAAGUGGUGCUUCAGGUUAAGAACAGUUUCAGGUUAAGAAUGGACCACUGGAACAAAUUAAGUACUUAACCCGAGGCACCACUGUAUUCCAAGGAUCUUCGUCAGAUAUGUGCCUCUCUCAGAAUCACACAGAGACAGACACAGGCCUUCUUCAGCCAUUUCACAUCCCUAAAUCAUUUUCAGAAUCUGCAUAGAGAAGUGAAACUUUGGAAUGGACUCAGCGUCACGUACCUAUUUUUCUUUUCGUACCUUCCUUGUGAUGCUGUUUAGAUGCAAGAUAACAAAUUAGCUGUGAGACUUUGCUCCCUUCUCGGGGCUGAGGUUUCUACAAAACUUCCUCUAAUUGGAAUUGACUGAGUCUCCUAGCAGGUCACCUGCUAAUCACUCAUGACUUUCUUAAAACACCAAAGGAAAAAGGAAGAGGUCAGUCACAACCGAUAUGAUAGCCAAUCUCUAACUUAGGGCCUUUCCAGCAGAUCAUAUAUUUUGGUUUCUAGAAGAAAAUCAAAGCGUUACUCAUUUGUUGCACAACAUCCAACCAUCUUUCCUCAAGGAAGUGACUCUUAAGUCAACUAAUGCCGUUUGUGUACCACAAAGAAAGCAUCAUAAAUUUGCAGUAAUGACUAUGACCUUUGGUUCAUUAUUAGUGGCCAAGGUGUAAGUUUUUGGUUUGUGAAUAGGUUUCAAUGAAAACAGUAGCAAAGGGGAAAUAGGAAGAUCCUCUGAAGGGAAAGGGCUGGAGAAAGGGGAAGGAAUUAUAAAGUGAGGCAAAAGGUUGUUGUCAUAAAAGCAAAGUCGGAAUUGAAAUGAAGGGGAGAAGAGAGAAAAGCUGAAAUAAUAACAAUAACAAUAACAAUUUACAGUGGUACCUCGGGUUAAGUACUUAAUUCGUUCCGGAGGUCCGUACUUAACUGAAACUGUUCUUAACCUGAAGCACCACUUUAGCUAAUGGGACCUCCUGCUGCCGCCACGGCUCCAGAGCCCGAUUUCUGUUCUCAUCCUGAAGCAAAGUUCUUAACCUGAAGCACUAUUUCUGGGUUAGCAGAGUCUGUAACCUGAAACGUAUGUAACCUGAAGCGUAUGUAACCCGAGGUACCACUGUAUUUGUACCCUGCCCAUCUGGCUGGGUUUCCCCAGCCACUCUGGGUGGCUUCCAACAAAGAUUAAAAAUACAUUAAAAUGUCAUACAUUAAAAAUUUCCCUAAACAGGGCUGCCUUCAGAUGUCUUCUAAAUGUCAGGUAGUUGUUUAUCUCUUUGACAUCUGAUGGGAGGGCGUUACAUAGGGUGGGCACCACUACCGAGAAGGCCCUCUGCCUGGUUCCCUGUAGCUUUGCUUCUCACAGUGAGGGAACUGCCAGAAGGCCCUUGGAGCUGGACCUCAGUGUCUGGGCAGAACGAUGGGGGUGGAGACGCUCCUUCAGGUAUACUGGGCCGAGGCUGUUUAGGGCUUUAAAGGUCAGCACCAACACUUUGAAUUGUGCUCGGAAACGUACUGGGAGCCAAUGUAGGUCUUUCAGGACCGGUGUCAUAUGGUCUCAGCGGCCGCUCCCAGUCACCAGUCUAGCUGCCACAUUCUGGAGGAAGAAGUAUAUAGGAGGAAGAAGUGAAAAGAUCAGAGAGGAGCAACAAAAGAAUUCAGCCAUUUGGUGGCUGGGUGGGGUAGAGAGAUGAACGUGAAAGGGGAAGGGCAGAAGAAAUUACCAGAGAUGGAUAAACAUACUUUGAGAGGCAUGAGGGUGGGAAAGAGAAAUUUUAAAGAAAACUUUUUCUUCAUGCAGAGUCUCUGGAUCAGCACAUGCUGCCUAAAAUGAGGAGGCUGAGUCUCAAUACCUCCAGAGCAAAUGCCUGAAUUUAGCUUGAAGAAAAGCUGAGCGAUCGUAGCUACAGUACAAGGGAAAUGCUGAACUAACAGGGAGGAUAAGAGGAGAUAUGGUACAAAAAGUGAAUAAGGAGUGGGAAUACAUCAAAAUUUAUGUGGAAAAUGUAGAAUUUCUGACAGAUACUGAGUGAAUCCAGAAAAUGGUUAGAGUGAAAGGAGAGUAAAGUUAAUAAAAAAGAGAAGAGAUUAAAGAAAUAAUGAAAUGUGUUUAAGCUAGUUGGAAAAAUAAAGUAGCGUAACAAGAACGGCUAGAAGUCAAGUCACUUGGUGGGUGUCCGUACGGGGCAGGUGUGUAGGUAUGUUGAUAUGUAUAGUAUAGGUAGGUAUUAUAUAGAGUAAUGUAGGUAUGUUUUAUGUUAUGAAAAUUAGGUAGUGUGUUGUGUACGUGUAUUGUGUAAAUGUAUAUAUAUGCGUUUUAUAUGUCAAUAAAAUAAAUAAAUGAAUGAAUGAAUGAAAUGCUGUGGCAAAGAAUUCUGAAAUUUUGAAAAACGGAUUGAGGUGUGUCCCUUCUCACUCCUGGCUAUUUUUGCCUUUUUGAAGAAAACUCUGGCACUUGGAGACAAAGGACGAUGUGUCAUUCUGGUCAGCCAGCACCCAGCCAGCUGCAUAGACUGGUAGGCUGAAGGUGUCCCCAAGGGAAAGGUUCAAGCUCCAUGACAGCAAAAGGAGCAAUUCUUGCACAAGGACAUUCUGCAAACAGAAGGAAGCAUUUCAGGGGUUUACCCUCAGAAGCUAGCUGGUAGCUCAGUGGAAAAGAGCCUUCUAAUGGGAAGUAACAUGAUAUAGGUUUGAGUCAUGUUGAAAUGACCCCUGUAAGGCAAUGUCUUCAGCUGGGGCUUCUCCAAACAACAGAUUCUAAAGGGGGAAAGUCUUUAGAAGGGAGGGAGAAGUUCUAAAACUCAAAUCGCUCACUGGGAUGGGUGGAUCUGUAAGUUUCAGUUUUUGUCAGCUUCUCAUUUUUCAAGUCUUAUGUUCCGUUCUCAACAUUUCCAUAUCAAUUUGCUUUUUUUAAAAAAAUGUCCUCAUAAAAACCCACCAGCGUGUAAAUGUGAAUUGCUUCCAAUAUACACAUUUUUACAGGCAGCUUUGCCUAACAUACCCAUUUUCGCAAAUCUAUUUCCCCCUAAUACAAGGCAUUUUUGAAUGCUGUUUUCAGUGAUGUCAUGCAUGUUCAUGCACAGGGCUCUGCAAAAUUCAGAGGAUUUUGAAGGAUGGUUCAUGGGUCAUUUAGAAAUUUGCAAAUUAGGUCAUUUCUCCUUUAGGCACGAGCAGAGUUGAACUCCACCCCACAUCCCUUGUGUUUAGGGAUUCGUAAAUAACGUGGUCAUAUAACUCACCUGGCCCAUGUCGGAGAUUGCGCUGGAAUGUCAUAUCCAGCACCUGUUUGUUUUGCUCUCCUAGGCUGCCGUGUCUCUGAUGCUGCAUGGAAGAAUGAGUCAUGAAUGUUUGGCCAGCAAUAGUAAGAGGUGGAGUCGAGUGCCUGGUGUUUAUUUACAAGGUGGCUGUGCGGUGACAAGCUUACCUGCAUUUGAGAGGUCAACAGCCUGCUUUUCUGCAACAAGCGUCCUUGCUGAGGCUGAGAGGUGGACUCUAGCUCAGAGGUAGAGCAACUG